CCGGCAAGAAGGUCUGGAGCCACUGGACCAAGCUGCCCUGGAACGGCGGCGUCGCGACGACUGCGGGCGGCCUCGCGUUCAGCGGCUCGCUCGACGGCC
rnacentral:tRNA from 1 species